CAACCCAAACUGUUAAUCUUCAAUAUUGCUUUGUACUUACGAUCUUGUAUCCACUGACUGUUUUGUUAGAUUAACCCAAUAAAUUUCAUUCACUCCGCAUACUCAAUCCUAUAGACACCCUUUUAAUCCUUCAAUCACAGACGUAACUCGAUUUCACAAAACAGUCAAGAGUAUUCAAACCCACUUCAUUUAAAAAUCCCGAUUCACCAUUACAACACUGACUUCAGCAGCGAUUGCCUCAGUCUUCUCCAAAACUCUACG
rnacentral:lncRNA from 1 species